CAUAAGGUUCCAUUCUGUAUGAUUCCACUUAUAUAACAUUUUGAAAUGACAAAAUUUUAGACGUGAGGACAGAUCAGUGAUUCCCAAGAAUUAAGAACAGGGGUAGGGCAAGAAGAAGGAGGGUUUGGUUAUAAAAGGGCAAUGAGAGGUCUCUGUACUGUUGGAACAUUCAAAUAUGACCGUGGUUGUGGAUACACAAAACUAUACAGGUGACAAAAUUGUAUAAAACUAAACACACACACAAAAAAGACUAUAAUGAAACUGGGGAAAUCUGAAUAAAAUUGGUGGAUUGUAUCAAUGUUAAUAUCAUGGUGGUGAUCUUACUCUAUAGUUUGCAAGAUGUAACCACUGGGGGGAACUGAGCAGUGUAUAAGGAAUCUCUCUUAUUAUUUCCUAAGGCUGCAUGUUUUAAACUAUGAUUAUCUCAAAAUAACAAUGUAUUUAUUUAUUUUUAAAAGAUUUUAUUUAUUUAUUUGAGAGAAAGAGAGAGGGAGAGAGACAGCACAAGUGGGGGAGGGGGCAGAGGGAGAGGGAGAAGCAGGCUCUCUACUCUCACUGAGCAGGAAGCCUGAUGUGGGGCUUGACCCCAGGAUCCCAGGAUCCCAGAAUCCCAGGAUCAUGACCUGAGCCAAAGGCAGAUGCUUAACCAACUGAGCCACCCAGGUGCCCUCAAAGUAACAAUUUUCAGGAAAGAGUAUUUGGUAAUGUGGAGAGAAGUUGUGGCACCACAUGUGUACUUUGGGGGCACCUGACUAGCUCAGUGGGUAGAGCAUGAGACUCUUGAUCUCAGGGUCAUGAGCAUAGAUAGAGCCUAUUUAACCACAAAUCAAGAGGAAUGAGAAAAAGCAUCUGCAUAAGUGACAGGAGUGAAAAAACAUUUGCAGAGAACACACAGAAAGAUAUUACUGAACCAAUAGAAGAGAACCAGGCUUCACCUGGAGCCCAGCAGGUACUGAAGGCAUUGACCACAAAAUGCUGCUGCACAGAGGAUCUCAAGGGUGACAAACUCUCCCUCUGAAUCAUGCUAACAAAGAAGGAGGAAGAGCAAGAAGCAACAACCAGUGCCCUUAGGGAAAGAAAAGAACAAUAAUGUUAACAGGGGAAUUGGGAGCCAGGAAGUAAAAGUUGAGUCAACAUGGCCAUGACCAGUCAUCUGAGAUCCCAGUGCACAAGGUUUCAGGGAAUGGAGAUAAUCCUGAUCCUCCUUUAGUCAAAAGACUCCAUGGAACAGCCGAGAGCCCUGUUUGGUUCCUGUGCCCAACCUUUUGCUGUCAUAUAGGGCCAUGACAUCAAGAAUGGCCAAGAAGAGCCCAGCAGAGGGGGUGGAGGAACAGAAGGAGAGAGAGAGAAUCGUAAGCAGGCUCUGCACCCAGCAUGGAGCCUGACUCGGGGCUUAAUCUCACAACCCUAAGAUCGAGACCUGAGCCGAGAUCAAGACCUGAGCCAAAAUCAACAGUUGGAAGCUCAACUAACUGAACCACCCAGGCGCCCCAUCCUUUCAACAAAUGUUGAUGACAGGCCUAUGAAAUGUAGGCCUUUGAAGGACAGGAACAGGCACCAAAGCAAAUCCCUAUCUUUAUGUGGAGUUUAUAUUCUAAGCCACAGAUUGUAUUCUCAAAGUGUCCUGGGAACCAUGAGAGCAUAUAAGGAUGAUUCAAGUUCAAGUCCUGGAUUGUAGAGGCCCAUGCCUCUCAAAACGGAGCUUUGGAGAGAUAAAAUGAGCACUGGCCUCGCCUGAAUUCACAGUAUUCACAGCACAGAAUACUAAAACUUUGAGAACAGAAAUGCGAGUCAUUUUUUUUUUUUUAAUUUGGAAGCCCAUGGAUUUUUUUUUUUUUCAACGAGAACUCAUGGUGAAGGCUGAGAGAAGACUGACCCAUCAUUCCUUAUUAGGGAGCACAAAGGAAGAACAAAGGGAAGAGAGUAUUAACCUGUUUGUAUAACCUGAAGACUAAACAACAACAACAACAACAACAACAACAACAACAACAACAACAAAACCUGAAGACUUUCAAUGUUACCUGGUGAAGAUUCUGUGGACUUGCCUUUUAACUAUUAUUUAUUUCUAACUUGCUCUUAUUUUGCUCUUUGCCUUAAUCCUGUUGGAAUGGGGAAGGGCACUGUUAGAUGCAAAAUCAGUAGGACUUCGGCCUCUGAGUUGAGCAAUUAAUGUACAAGUUUCACAUGAUCUUCCUUCCUUUUUGAAGCCAAGGUUAAGUGUAUGGCCAAGUCCACUUCUGGUUUUUCAUUUUUCUUGAGACUACAGUGAAAACUGUGCUCCAGAUUACCAUUGCCUCCUGUUGUCUGAACUUUGGCUCAAACAUCUCUGAGUUUCAGUACAGACUCCCAGAAUUGAGGUCAUUUUCAAGACCUAAGUAUCCCUCCCUCAAGGGUCUCAGAUCUAGAGCUCCUGAAUUUGAAUCUCAAGUACCAUGAACCCUAUACUGGAGCCCUAAAUAAAAG